rnacentral:rRNA from 1 species
CCAAGGAGUCUAACAUGUGCGCGAGUCACUCGGUCUUGUUUAGGCCAGAGAGGCGCAAUGAAAGUAAAGUUGAUUGAGUUACGAUCUUCAUUUAGUUAGUCCCUAGUGGCUAACUUUGAAGCGCAGUAACAGCCCGCCAAUUCCGCUUUUUGACGGUCUGGCGGAGUUGUAGCGUACACGUUGGUACCCGAAAGAUGGUGAACUAUGCCUGGGCAAGACGAAGCCAGAGGAAACUCUGGUGGAGGUCUGUAGCGAUUCUGACGUGCAAAUCGAUCGUCAGACCUGGGUAUAGGGGCGAAAGACUAAUCGAACCAUC